UAUGCCUACGGGGCGCAGCAGUGGGGAAUAUUGCACAAUGGGGGAAACCCUGAUGCAGCGACGCCGCGUGAGUGAAGAAGUAUCUCGGUACGUAAAGCUCUAUCAGCAGGGAAGAAAAAAAGCCUUUGGCUUUGGACGGUACCUGACUAAGAAGCCCCGGCUAACUACGUGCCAGCAGCCGCGGUAAUACGUAGGGGGCAAGCGUUAUCCGGAUUUACUGGGUGUAAAGGGAGCGUAGACGGUUGUACAAGUCUGAUGUGAAAGCCCACGGCUCAACUGUGGGAGUGCAUUGGAAACUGUAGAAC
rnacentral:rRNA from 1 species